AAAGUACUCCCUCCGUCCCAAAAUUCUUGUCUUAGAUUUGUCUAGAUACGGAUGUAUCAAGUCACAUUUUAGUAUUAGAUACAUCCGUAUCUAGAUACAUCCGUAUCUAGACAAAUCUAAGACAAGAAAUUUGGGACAGAGGGAGUAGUUG
rnacentral:pre_miRNA from 1 species